GACGAACGCUGGCGGCGUGCUUAACACAUGCAAGUCGAACGGAAAGGCCCUGCUUUUGUGGGGUGCUCGAGUGGCGAACGGGUGAGUAACACGUGAGUAACCUGCCCUUGACUUUGGGAUAACUUCAGGAAACUGGGGCUAAUACCGGAUAGGAGCUCCUGCUGCAUGGUGGGGGUUGGAAAGUUUCGGCGGUUGGGGAUGGACUCGCGGCUUAUCAGCUUGUUGGGGGGGUAGUGGCUUACCAAGGCUUUGACGGGUAGCCGGCCUGAGAGGGUGACCGGGCACAGGGGGACUGAGAGACGGCCCAGACUCCUACGGGAGGCAGCAGGGGGGAAUAUUGCACAAUGGGCGGAAGCCUGAUGCAGCAACGCCGCGUGCGGGAUGACGGCCUUCGGGUUGUAAACCGCUUUCGCCUGUGACGAAGCGGGAGUGACGGUAAUGGGUAAAGAAGCAACGGCUAACUACGUG
rnacentral:rRNA from 1 species